UCCCUGGUGGUCCAGUGGUUAAGACUCCGCAUUUGCAAUGCAGGGGGUAUGGGUUUGAUCCCUGAUUGGGGAA
rnacentral:tRNA from 1 species